UACGUAGGGAGCAAGCGUUAUUCGGAUUUACUGGGCGUAAAGGGCGCGUAGGCGGCAACUCAAGUCAUCUGUGAAAUCUCCGGGCUUAACUCGGAACGGUCAGAUGAUACUGUUUUGCUAGAGUGCAGAAGGGGCAAUCGGAAUUCUUGGUGUAGCGGUGAAAUGCGUAGAUAUCAAGAGGAACACCUGAGGUGAAGACGGGUUGCUGGGCUGACACUGACGCUGAGGCGCGAAAGCCAGGGGAGCAAACGGG
rnacentral:rRNA from 1 species